CAUCACUACGCUAGAUGCAUAUCAAUAAGCGGAGGAAAAGAAACUAACAAGGAUUCCCCUAGUAACGGCGAGUGAAGCGGGAAGAGCUCAAAUUUGAAAUCUUAAAGGGUUUCCCUUUACGAAUUGUAGUUUAAAGAAGUGUUUUCCGUUGGAGUUUUCGGUAAAAGUUCUUUGGAAUAGGACAUCAUAGAGGGUGAGAAUCCCGUAUUUGACCGUUACUUUCCAGCUGUGUGAUACACUUUCAACGAGUCGGAUUGUUUGGGAAUGCAGUCCAAAAUGGGUGGUAAAUUUCAUCUAAAGCUAAAUAUUGGCGAGAGACCGAUAGCGAACAAGUACCGUGAGGGAAAGAUGAAAAGAACUUUGAAAAGAGAGUUAAACAGUACGUGAAAUUGUCAAAAGGGAAGCGUUUGACACCAGUGUUGUUUAGUUGAAAAUCAAUUCAAUAUUUUUCGAUUCUAAGUAGUAUUGACCUUCAUCAGCUUGCUGCUUUCUUCUCGGAAAUUAUUUAAUGCACUUUUCAGUUAACAAGUCAACAUCAAUUUCUUUUGUUGUAAAAGGGUAAGAGGAAGGUGGCUUGCGCUUCGGCUCAAGUGUUUAUAGCCUUUUAUCUCUGCAAUCGGAGAGAUUGAGGUCAUGCAGCGUAGAUCCUUCGGGGUUAGAUACAUUGUGCUAAGCUAUAGCCUUGUAUAGACAACUUGUUGACUAUGCUCAGUCAUGUAGCUUACUCGCAUGAUGCUAUUUUACCUACGCUUAGGAUGUUGAAGAUAUGCGCGACAC
rnacentral:rRNA from 1 species